rnacentral:rRNA from 1 species
CGGUCUCCUCCUAAAGAGUAACGGAGGAGCACGAAGGUUGGCUAAUCCUGGUCGGACAUCAGGAGGUUAGUGCAAUGGCAUAAGCCAGCUUGACUGCGAGCGUGACGGCGCGAGCAGGUGCGAAAGCAGGUCAUAGUGAUCCGGUGGUUCUGAAUGGAAGGGCCAUCGCUCAACGGAUAAAAGGUACUCCGGGGAUAACAGGCUGAUACCGCCCAAGAGUUCAUAUCGACGGCGGUGUUUGGCACCUCGAUGUCGGCUCAUCACAUCCUGGGGCUGAAGUAGGUCCCAAGGGUAUGGCUGUUCGCCAUUUAAAGUGGUACGCGAGCUGGGUUUAGAACGUCGUGAGACAGUUCGGUCCCUAUCUGCCGUGGGCGCUGGAGAACUGAGGGGGGCUGCUCCUAGUACGAGAGGACCGGAGUGGACGCAUCACUGGUGUUCGGGUUGUCAUGCCAAUGGCACUGCCCGGUAGCUAAAUGCGGAAGAGAUAAGUGCUGAAAGCAUCUAAGCACGAAACUUGCCCCGAGAUGAGUUCUCCCUGACUCCUUGAGAGUCCUGAAGGAACGUUGAAGACGACGACGUUGAUAGGCCGGGUGUGUAAGCGCAGCGAUGCGUUGAGCUAACCGGUACUAAUGAACCGUGAGGCUUAACCUUACAACGCCGAAG